UACGAAGGGGGCUAGCGUUGUUCGGAAUCACUGGGCGUAAAGCGCACGUAGGCGGAUCUUUAAGUCAGGGGUGAAAUCCCGAGGCUCAACCUCGGAACUGCCUUUGAUACUGGGGAUCUCGAGUUCGGGAGAGGUGAGUGGAACUGCGAGUGUAGAGGUGAAAUUCGUAGAUAUUCGGAAGAACACCAGUGGCGAAGGCGGCUCACUGGCCCGAUACUGACGCUGAGGUGCGAAAGCGUGGGGAGCAAACAGG
rnacentral:rRNA from 1 species